rnacentral:lncRNA from 1 species
CUUCGAAAAAAAAAAAUACAGAAGUAUAAAUUAUUUUUUUGAUGUAACGUGUAUAUAGAUCGAGCAGAGUUACUAUACUCUUAUGAGAAUAGAAUUCUUCGUACUUGUAAAUUAUUUUCAAUGAUGAAGCCUCCUAAUCGACGAUUCACAUCGUUAAAUAUGAUCUCAAACAUUUGAAACUUUUUAAAAAUAAUUUCGUAAUUUUUCGAAGUCAUAAUAAAGUCCGUUAUAUAAGGAGGCAUAAAAUGAACGGUCAAAAUUGAAUGACGUCCUAAAAAUGGAUGAUUGUAUCCUUAAAUUUAAGGUCGGAGUUAUUGAUCUUUAUUUAUAUAGUAAAUAAAAUUUUUUUAUCAAAAUUAAGUCAAUUCUAAUUCUUUUAUAGCGUUAAACUAGUAAGUAUCUUUUGUGUGUGUGUAUAGAUAUAUAAGUAUGUAUGAGUACGACUGCUAUACUAUCGGUAAUACGGAUGUCUUCGUGCUACCAAGUUAUUUUCAAUGAUGCAACUUUUAGAUUGACGUUCGGCUCCGUUAGACUUGAUCUACACUAUUGAAAGUAUUUGAAAAUUAAAUUUUAUACUUUUUUCGACAACAAUUACUUAUCAAAUGAGUAGUCUAAAAAUAAAUGGCUAAAACUAAAAAUUUCAUAAGAAAUAAUAAUAAAAGACUUGAAUUUAAGAUCAGAUGUACCGAUCUUUCUCUAAAUAUUGAAAUGAAUUUUCUAUAUACAUUUUAUCAGAUUUGGAUUGUUUUGUGCCGUUAAAUUCACGAACGCAUCACAUUGACCAUCAAAAUUAUCAAUUUUGAGAUUUUUUGAUCACUAGCCAAAUAAUAUCGAAAAACUAUGAAAUUUAAUUUUUAUAUAUUUUCAAUAAUGUAAAUCAAGUUUAACGGAGCUGAUUUUUGAUUUGGAAGCCGCAUUAAUGAAAAAACUUGGUAGCACGAAAGUCUCCGUAUUACUGAUAAUAUAGAAGCUUAGCGCGCGCUCUCUCUCUCUCUCUCUUCU